rnacentral:lncRNA from 1 species
GUUUAAUAAACAGGUCUGAGAGUGUUCACUGUGAGGAGAGGUUUAAUAAACAAGUCUGAGAGUGUUCACUGUGAAGAGAGAUUUAAUAAACAGGUCUGAGAGUAUUCACUGUGAAGAGAGGUUUAAUAAACAAGUCUGAGAGUGUUCACUGUGAAGAGAGGUUUAAUAAACAGGUCUGAGAGUGUUCACUGUGAGGAGAGGUUUAAUAAACAGGUCUGAGAGUGUUCACUGUGAGGAGAGGUUUAAUAAACAGGUCUGAGAGUGUUCACUGUGAGGAGAGGUUUAAUAAACAGGUCUGAGAGUGUUCACUGUGAGGAGAGAUUUAAUAAACAGGUCAGAGAGUGUUCAGUGUGAAGAGAGGUUUAAUAAACAGGUCUGAGAGUGUUCACUGUGAAGAGCGUUGUAAUAAACAGGUCUGAGAGUGUUCACUGUAAAGAGAGAUUUAAUAAACAGGUCUGAGGGUGUUCACUGUGAGGAGAGGUUUAAUAAACAGGUCUGAGAGUGUUCACUGUAAAGAGAGGUUUAAUAAACAGGUCUGAGAGUGUUCACUGUAAAGAUAAGUUUAAUAAACAGGUCUGAGAGUGUUCACUGUGAAGAGAGGUUAAAUAAACAGGUCUGAGAGUGUUCACUGUGAGGAGAGAUUUAAUAACCAGGUCAGAGAGUGUUCAGUGUGAAGAGAGGUUUAAUAAACAGGUCUGAGAGUGUUCACUGUAAAGAGAGGUUUAAUAAACAGGUCUGAGAGUGUUCACUGUGAAGAGAGGUUUAAUAAACAGGUCUGAGAGUGUUCACUGUGAGGAGAGAUUUAAUAAACAGGUCAGAGAGUGUUCAGUGUGAAGAGAGGUUUAAUAAACAGGUCUGAGAGUGUUCACUGUAAAGAGAGGUUUAAUAAACAGGUCUGAGAGUGUUCACUGUGAGGAGAGGUUUAAUAAACAGGUCUGAGAGUGUUCACUGUAAAGAGAGGUUUAAUAAACAGGUCUGAGAGUGUUCACUGUGAGGAGAGGUUUAAUAAACAGGUCUGAGAGUGUUCACUGUGAAGAGAGGUUUAAUAAACAGGUCUGAGACUGUUCACUGUAAAGAGAGGUUUAAUAAACAGGUCUGAGAGUGUUCACUGUAAAGAGAGGUUUAAUAAACAGGUCUGAGAGUGUUCACUGUGAAGAGAGGUUUAAUAAACAGGUCUGAGAGUGUUCACUGUGAGGAUAGAUUUAAUAAACAGGUCAGAGAGUGUUCAGUGUGAAGAGAGGUUUAAUAAACAGGUCUGAGAGUGUUCACUGUGAAGAGAGGUUUAAUAAACAGGUCUGAUUGUGUUCACUGUAAAGAGAGGUUUAAUAAACAGG